AUUUGUUUGCAAUGCGCACUUUUAUCCCCUCGCUUCAAACCACCACCUCAGUUUUUUUCAUCAUCAUUAUUGGCCGGCCUUUUUUUCAGCGCCGUCUUAUUAUCAGCCCUGAUUUGGCUCAAGUGUGUGGUUGUGAGAUCAUCAUCUAGAAAUCCUUUUUAAAAGUUCAGAUAUUGGACUUCAAAGAGUGCUACAGAGAGUCAGCGUUUCACCAUCAGACAGUUGCCAAUAGGAACAACGUCAUGUAAAUAUGAGACGGGACCUCGUCCUUCGUGCACUUCCUGCGUACCUGCGUGAAGAUGCCUCCAAGUUCUUCAGGAC